rfam:Chlamydiae bacterium SM23_39 WORSMTZ_58984, whole genome shotgun sequence.
GGGGAUGUCGCAUAGUGGCAAUUGCAAGGGACUGUAAAUCCCUCCUCUUAGGAGUUCGCUGGUUCGAGUCCAGCCAUCCCCA